CUAUCCACCUCUGCUUGAAGAUCGUGUGAAACCCUAUUAUCAGUUUUGUCAGCAGGAAAUCGGAAAAAAAAAGCUUAAAUCACAUAUAGAUACUAGAUUAGUAACCCAUAUAACCUAAUAUUAGCGGCAGUCUUAACUUCAAAAUUUUAGUUUUCCUCUUAUCUAUCUUAAACCGCAUAACCAGUUCACCCUAAAACCGCAUAUGAGACCUAAUUUCUGAUGCUCGUUUGUGGUUCUCGCCAUAAGGGUGAAGUGAUAGAUGUUUCAUUAUCAAAUUAACUCACCAUCAUAUCCGAUUUGAACUAGGGGUUAACAGCUCUCAUCCAACCAUCUUCUUGGUUCGUAUUAACAAAUUUCGGCAACAUCUCUGUUUUGCAGGUUACCAUCAGAUUGGACCUGGAUCUGGUACAAACAAACAUCUUAGAGAGGAUGCAGAAAUUGCUAUGCAAGGAUUCAUCAAUUUUGCUCAAUAUACAUCUAGUAUACAUCUCGCAGGUUUUUGAUAAAAUGUCAGCGUUUGAACUCACCUAAAAAUUAAGCGCUAAAUCAUUCAAAAUCCAAGAGAAAUCACCAGAAAGAAUUACUAAAAAUUUAGAAGAAGAAUUAAAUAAGCCGUAUAACUAGGGGUCUGCACGGGCGAUGUGGGAACAUCAGCAUGGUAAGGCUUCAGAUCUUUUAAAAAGCACAAGAAAGGGGGACAAUACUCCAUAAAUUUAUGGCCAUUUUACUUUGGGGUAUGAUGACAAGUGGAGUUUUGAGAAG
rnacentral:lncRNA from 1 species